rnacentral:lncRNA from 1 species
AAAUUGAAUGUAUAUUUAUCUUUGUUUUUUUUUUGUAACACAUUCUUCAUUCAUAACUUAAACGAUUACAUGGACAAAUGCAACAUCGGACAUACGAGGUCCUUUUAGAAAUUACAAGAACAAAGCAAAAUAAAGAUAGAGACACAAACUUAGACAAGUUUGAUAGAGUGUGAAAAUUAAUUUAAAGGAGCCACUCGCGAAUAAGCUCAUGGAGAAAGUACUUCGCCCUUCAAACUUUUCAGACAUGGGGAAUAGUCACCGUACAUCGUGACGUUGAACGCUUCACAGCCUCAAGUCUCACCGGGAUGAAUCUCGUUGUAUCUUCCGGUCCCAAACGAACCAUUACACAAGCGGUUAGGAAAACGAAAAUACUCAUUAGCUUUAACGCCAAGAGAAAGGUACCUCUCAUAGAGAGGAGUUUAAAAUGAUCUCUCAUGGCCCCGACAUGAGGAAAUUUGGCUAGCCAUUGUUGUAAGGAAAGUGGCUGAGGGACUACAAUCUUCAAUCUUUAAUAGACUCUGACCAAAUAAUGGUAGUGAUUCUACACUUGUUUAUGUCAGAGUUGAACGUUGCUGAUGAACUUUGUUUGACGUUUCUGAAUUAACUCCAUCGAUUGCACCAGGAAUCCCACAAACACAGCAUGGUUGUUCAGAUUUUUGCAUUGGGUAGCACGAUAUUAGAAAACAUAGCUGCAGGGUGUCUACGCACGUGAGGAGAAACCAUGGAGGAGAGGAUUCAGAAAUUUUCCCCUUCACACCAACGGACAGAGAUAUUAGCUUGACGAUAGUUUCCAAGGGAGCAAGCAAUGAUAUCAGGCAGACACUUCCACGUCCAGCAUUACCGUGCCGGAGCCAAGCCAAGAAGAUUUGACGAAAUCAAAGUUGAGCCACUGGUCAGUGAAGUCCAAAAAGCUUAGCAAAGGUGAGCAUUUGUUGGUAUGUGCUACUGUGAGUGGUGUUUUCGGUGAGAGUCCAAAGCCGUCAAGGCUCACAUAUUUGGCUCGCAGCGAGCAAAAGGGGUCGAUAUGAUUGGGGAGAGAGGUCUGAGAAGGAUCUUUCCGGAAACCUCUGAAGAAUAGCUUAGUUCCAGUGGACCUUGAAUAACAACCUGAGAUCUGUGCCAGCAGAUCCAUUAUGGUCAGAUUAGGGAGCAGUAAGAAACAGCCGGUGGUUCUACAGGAGUGGAAUGGGCAACGGGUGAGCUUAUCCAACUCCUCCAAGGAGAUACAUCUUCAAACCUUGCCAUUAACAAUUGAAACCAAGCUCAUGUGUAAGAUUCUUCGGGGCUUUGAAAGCUCAGAUUAGAUCUCCAAACACCAAGAGACAAGAGGUUUAAAAACGUACAGUAGAGAGAGAGAGCAGGUUUGAAAGGAACAGAGAGAGGAAGAGCAAGAGUAUCCCGGCGCCAGCUAGAUCAUGGCUUCACCGGGGCUGUCUCGAUAAUUGUGUAUGUAAGCGUUAGGGCGAACUCAAGUAGUAGUAUACACAAGCUU